ACGAGCUGCAGUCAAGCAGGUGGCCCUGCCGCAGUCACAGCUGAAGCAUCUGUCCCGUGUGGCAUGAUGCCAGGCUGCAGAGGGUCUGCAUCCAAGCUCACUCUGGGGACCUCCAGCAGAGAAGGCCGGCAGUUAGACAUUCCUGGCCUCUCCUGACAGACUGUCAGAAGGGACAUCCACUCUCUUCUGCUGUGUCAGCAUUUUUAAAGGGUGGUAUUGCUGGUUUAUUACUGAAGACACUGCAAGAAUUUCAUGUCACUUUGAUUCAUUGAAGUCAAAGCCUACAGCAACUUUUGGUAAAUGAUUGAAGUAUCCCAAAAUACAAUGCAGAAUGAUAAAUGAAAAUAAUUGAACGAUGUCAACACGUCAAGAGAAUUUGAGCCCGAACAGCAUUCGCAAACCUGGAACUUUUAUCUAUACCUCUGAAAAUAGCCGUUCAGGAGUCCGGGAGUCUGAAAGUCAGCCCAUUGAUCUCAGCGGAAGAAAUCAGUCAGGCUCCUGGGCGCUGCCCCCUGGAGACUGUCAUUCGGAAGGCUGGAGCUGAGGCCAUGAAUCCUGCCUGGAACUGACUGGCAUGCGGACUUCACAGAAGGGAAAUCUUGAAGCCUCAUACAGGUCCUACAGCCCUGCAGGGGCGCAGGGGAGAGGCGUUUCCAAAGCACGGUGACAAUCCACAGAAAUCUGGGGUCCCACAGGCACCUCGUCCCAAGCCAUGUGAUUUCUUGACCUAAAUCUUCGCAGCUGAGAUUCAAGUGUUAGAAAUGACUCCCCAAACAGCGGUCUCUUCUGAAAAAGAAGUUCCUACUAGAGGCCUCUCUUUAAAUGCUUGUCUGUGACAAGACACAGAUGAUGAGCUAAGCCGAGCUGAGGUACCGUGGUGGUUAUGAGGUUCCUACCUUCCAGUGUAGGUUCCAGACUGCCUGUGUUCUACUCACUGGAUUGCGCACAUCCACUGAUGUCGUUUCAUUUUCUCCACACCCUAAAUUUGGUCUGGAUGCCAAGGCUGAUGAUGCCACACAUGUUCACCGUGAGGAAACAGAAUGUUUAUUAUCGUGAUGAUGUUUCUUGAGAGGGAAAGACAGUGGCACCCAACCAUGAUAAAAUGGCUUGAGAAAACAAGACAUGAUAUAAAGUGGGAGACACUGGAAUGGCAUAUUCAAAGUGCUGAGGAAUGAGCCAACAAGAGUUCUAUUUCCAGAAAAAUGUUCCUUCACAACCCAAAGUGAAAUAAAGACAUGUCCAGAUCAUCAAAGGGUAAAAGGAUUUACUGCUAAUGGAAUUGACAUGUCAGAAAUACUAAAAAGAAGUCUUUUUGUCUGGGGAAAAUUUUUUAUAUCAGAUGGCAACUUGAGUCCAUAAGAAGAAAUAGCCAUGAAAAUGAUCCACAAAGAACGACAUAAGAGGCACAUGAAGUCUCUUUUUAUUCAGCCCUGAGGCUCACGAGGCCUGCACCUGAAGGGCUGUGUACCAUCCACGGUGAUGUGAUUUCUUUUUGGACAAGUGAAGCCUCUGUCUUGUCAAGCUGCUGCACCUGUAAAGCAAUCAGGCUUCGAAUUCACACCAGCGAGCCUUCAAUCCACAUCAACAGCAAGAUUCCAAAUGUGACAGUGUCUGAGCAUGUGACUUGGUGUCAAAAACCGCCAAGCUUAUCUCAAAUUCAACAAUAAACCUUUCUAAACCAA